CCUAUAAGACUGGGAUAACUUCGGGAAACCGGAGCUAAUACCGGAUAAUAUAUUGAACCGCNAUGGUUCAAUAGUGAAAGACGGUUUUGCUGUCACUUAUAGAUGGAUCCGCGCCGCAUUAGCUAGUUGGUAAGGUAACGGCUUACCAAGGCAACGAUGCGUAGCCGACCUGGGAGGGUGAUCGGCCACACUGGAACUGAGACACGGUCCAGACUCCUACGGGAGGCAGCAGCC
rnacentral:rRNA from 1 species